AUGCAGUCGAGGGGCAGCGGGGAUAAGCUUGCUUAUCCGCCGGCGACCGGCGCACGGGUGCGCAACGCGUAUAGAAUCUGCCUUGUACUGGGGAAUAGCCCAGAGAAAUUUGGAUUAAUGCCCCAUGGUAUGUAAUUGUGGCAUCACUAUUACAUUAAAGGUUACGGUACAAGAUGACUAUGCGUCCCAUUAGUUAGUUGGUAAGGUAACGGCUUACCAAGGCAGCGAUGGGUAGGGGCCCUGAGAGGGGGAUCCCCCACACUGGUACUGAGACACGGACCAGACUCCUACGGGAGGCAGCAGUGAGGAAUAUUGGACAAUGGGCGGGAGCCUGAUCCAGCCAUGCCGCGUGCAGGAAGACGGUCCUAUGGAUUGUAAACUGCUUUUGUACGGGAAGAAUAAGGGCUACGUGUAGCCUGUUGACGGUACCGUAAGAAUAAGGAUCGGCUAACUCCGUGCCAGCU
rnacentral:rRNA from 1 species